GAUGAAGAACGCAGCGAAAUGCGAUAAGUAGUGUGAAUUGCAGAAUUCAGUGAAUCAUCGAAUCUUUGAACGCACAUUGCGCCCUUUGGUAUUCCAAAGGGCAUGCCUGUUCGAGCGUCAUUUGUACCCUCAAGCUUUGCUUGGUGUUGGGCGUCUUGUCUCUAGCUUUGCUGGAGACUCGCCUUAAAGUAAUUGGCAGCCGGCCUACUGGUUUCGGAGCGCAGCACAAGUCGCACUCUCUAUCAGCAAAGGUCUAGCAUCCACUAAGCAUUUUUUUCAACUUUUGACCUCGGAUCAGGUAGGGAUACCCGCUGAACUUAAGCAUAUCAAUAAGCGGAGGA
rnacentral:misc_RNA from 1 species